AGGCGGAGUGCUUAAUGCGUUAGCUGCAGCACUAAAGGGCGGAAACCCUCUAACACUUAGCACUCAUCGUUUACGGCGUGGACUACCAGGGUAUCUAAUCCUGUUCGCUCCCCACGCUUUCGCGCCUCAGCGUCAGUUACAGACCAGAGAGUCGCCUUCGCCACUGGUGUUCCUCCACAUCUCUACGCAUUUCACCGCUACACGUGGAAUUCCACUCUCCUCUUCUGCACUCAAGUUUCCCAGUUUCCAAUGACCCUCCCCGGUUGAGCCGGGGGCUUUCACAUCAGACUUAAGAAACCGCCUGCGCGCGCUUUACGCCCAAUAAUUCCGGACAACGCUUGCCACCUACGUAUUACCGCGGCUGCUGGCACGUAGUUAGCCGUGGCUUUCUGGUUAGGUACCGUCAAGGUGCGAGCAGUUACUCUCGCACUUGUUCUUCCCUAACAACAGAGUUUUACGAUCCGAAAACCUUCAUCACUCACGCGGCGUUGCUCCGUCAGACUUUCGUCCAUUGCGGAAGAUUCCCUACUGCUGCCUCCCGUAGGAGUCUGGGCCGUGUCUCAGUCCCAGUGUGGCCGAUCACCCUCUCAGGUCGGCUACGCAUCGUUGCCUUGGUGAGCCAUUACCUCACCAACUAGCUAAUGCGCCGCGGGCCCAUCUGU
rnacentral:rRNA from 1 species